GCAACAUCUGGCUAACGUACUUUGCUAAGAUGAACUCCUGUGCCAAAUUGUUCAUUUUGAUAGCCAUCGCAGGAGUUUGUGUUAUCUUGUAUUUGGCCACUUUGGAGGAACAUGAUACAACAGACCUGAAUUGUGGAAUGAGACCAGAGAGACCAUCAACGAUGAUGCCAUUUGACUAUGAUGAUUAUGGUGGUGGUCGGUUCGUUGGUGGCACUCCAAUUGACCCUAGUAUUUGGCCGUGGCAAGUCUCCAUCAUGCACCGUCCGACCGCAGCAGAUCCUUUUCAUCAUCACUGUGGAGGAGCCAUCAUCAGCCAGGACUGGAUACUGACAGCUGCCGUAUGUGUUCAUGCACCACAGCAUCGGUAUAUACCACAGCAUAUAUUAAGUCUACCGUUUAGCUACUUUAGCAGUUGUCUUUUUCCAAAAAAUUUCUUUGCCCUUUUUGUUGCAGCCUUUCAAGCAACCUUAUAGUCAAAGCUGGGACCACGGAUACAAACCACAAUGACGCGAACACACAGGAAGUACAAAUUGAGAGGAUAGUCCCGCACAAACUUUUUAAUCCUAUCACACUGAGAUACAACAUUGCACUUCUGAAGUUGAAACCCCCCCUUGUAUUCAACACCUUUGUGGAUGAAAUUUGCAUCCCAGAUAAUUCCAAUGUUGAAGAACAUCAGUAUGGUAUCUGCCACAUCACAGGCUAUGCAGGGCCCAAUGCAAACACCAGCAUUUUACAAGAAGCAGAAGUGAAGAAAAUUGGCAAUCCCAGGUGUAACAUGCCUACCUGGUGGAACUACAAAGUGGCUAGGGACAUGUUUUGUAUGUCUCAUCCCAGUGGCAUGGGUGGUCCUGAUGGU